rnacentral:piRNA from 1 species
CUGAGUGGAUUCGAUCUUGGAGGUAAGAUG